GAAAUAUUUCAUUGAUGUACAAAAUUAGCUAUACCAAUUAAACUACAUAUGGCAGCCCAUACGCAUUGUGCAUACUGAACCAACCUUAAUAAACUUUUAAAAAGCUUAUCUAUCCAAGGCUGGUACAAUAAACAUACCAAUUGUUUAAUCCAAUUCACAACACCAAUGUCUUAUUUUAUACUAGCUAGGAAACUAGGGCUUUAGAAAAUAAGUAAAAGGGGUGGCAAAAGUGGUGCCAGCAGUCGCGGUUAUACCACUACCCCAAGCUAAUUCAUACAAAUCGGAGCAAUUAUCAAACUUAAAAGAUCACAAAAUUAACUUUUAAUGUAAAAAGUAAAUUAGAAAUAAACCCAAUCCGAUCAUUACCUAAUUGCUACAACAAACCACAAACUCAGAACUCGGAUUAGAUACCCGACUACUGUGUGGCUCAACAUAAAAAAGAAUACUACGAGCGAAAGCUUAAACCUCAAACAAUGUGGCGGUGCUCUACUCCUUAUCAGGGGAUCCUGUGGCUUAAUUCGAUAAUCCACGAAAAUCUUAGCUUAUUUCUUGUACUUCAGCUUGUGUAUGGCCCGUUUAUGCUUGCUCAAAGAAGAAAAAAAAGGAAGCAAUAGAACUAUUAAUUCAAAAAUUCAGGUGACAUACAGCCAAUGAAAAGCAGAUCCAUGGGAUACAAAUAAACACCCUAGCGAAUUUAAAGAUUUAAAGCUUUAAUGCAGGAGGACUUGAAAGUAAGACUUAGACUUAAUUACAUAAAAUAAGUCUGAAUAAGAACUAAAGCGCGCACAAAUCGCCCGUCACUCCGACAAUAAAGUAGGAUAAGUCGUAACACAGUAGGGGUAAUGGAAAUUGCCCCUAUCACA
rnacentral:ncRNA from 1 species